rnacentral:lncRNA from 1 species
CGCUUCUGCCACUUCAAUGCCACCCGGAUGUUGAAGUAUCGUGGAGGAACCCGUGAAGGUGGUUAUCUGACCAGAACAGAGAAGAACCUGUAAGAAACAUGCAGCAGCCCAGCAGACCAAAUUUAUCUUGAGCUCGUAAAGAAAAGAAAGAUCUGAUGAAAACCGUAUACCUGGUUUUAUUUACAUUAAUGAAGCUAUGUGACAUAAAGGCCACAAUGAUUUCUCUCCUUUUCUUUUGUGGAAAAAUUCUUUUUUGUUUUUUUGAGGAAGAUCAGCACUGAGCUAACUGCUGCCAAUCCUCCCCUCCCCGCCAAGGAAGACCAGCCCCGAGCCAACAUCCAUGCCCAUCUUCCUCCACUUUACAUGCGGGACACCUACC